ensembl:lncRNA
GCGCGGCGCCGGGGAGGAGUCCGGGGCGGCGGCGCGGGGCGCGCGCUCGGCGAGGGCGCCCUCUCCAGGGCCGCCUGCAGCCUGAGGGACUGGGCCGAGCGGCGGCCGGCCUGGGCGCUCCUGCGGCCUUCCCUGGAUGGUGGGCGGAAAAUAACCCAUAGCCAGAGGCACCAUUGCUGAAUUUCCAGUCUCCAAGGACGGCUUCCACAUUUCCAGGAAAAGAAAACAGGUUCAAGCCAUCUUCCUCCCUCAGCCUCCAGAGUAGCUGGGACUACAGGCACGGGCCACUGCACCCAGCAAAUUGACUUUCCAGAUCUCACUGGCAACACUGGAGUCUGGGGAGAAGACGCUUUCUCAGUUUUGAGGCAAGUAAUGUUCACCCUGGCAUUCUAUACCCAGCCAAACUGUUUAUCAAGUGAGAGGACAGAAUAAAAAUGUUUUCACAAAUGCCAGAGCACAGGCAUUUGUUUUUCAUACCCCUGUUGCUAGGAAGUUACUUGAGGAUGUGCUCCAGCAGGACCAGGGGGCGAAACCAAGAGAGGGAGAUGCAGGCACUAUGAGUCUGUAGAUCCAGCUCUGUGUGGAGGGAAAGGAAGGUCAGGAAUAGAGGAGCAGGCCUGGGGUCAACCGAUCCACACUGCAACAGCCACCAGGGGAUGCAGGGAGGCGUCUGGAUGUUAUGAUGGAGAAACAACCAUUUUGAGGGAGAAAAUGAUGAUUAAAUAAAGGCACACAUCUAAAAACAUGGGUCAUUAAAUCUCCACGAAAACAAGAAAAUGAUACAGGAGGCUUGGGACAAGAUUGAAAUGUGAUAUGAUCUGGAACAAAGAGUGGAGAAUGAGUAAAGAACCCAUUUGGCUGGGGGCGGUGGCUCACGCCUGGAAUCCCAACACUUUGAGAAGCAGAGGUGGGCAGAUCUUUUGAGCCCAGGAGUUCAAGACCAGCCUGGGUAACAUGGCGAACCCCUGGACCAUGCCUGUGGUCCUAGCUACUCAGGAGGCUGAGGCAGGAGGAUUGCUUGAGCCCAGGAGCUUAAGGCUGCAGUGAGCCAAGAUGAUGACACUGCACUCCAGCCUGGAUGUCAGAGCGAGACCUUGUUUCAAACAAACAAAAAAAUAACCCACUUGCUCUGGAGUUACCCUCAAAUUCCCAGGGAUUGUGGGAGAAGACGUCACGGCAGGCCUGGCCCCGCCCUGAGUGAUACUUACACAGUCAUCACCAGCCACACAUUCCUCGCUGAUUUUCGAAUGUCAGGGCAUCUCAGGGCCAGGCGUGGUCCCAGGACCAAGGACACCCCUAGCCUGGACGCUGUGGAGGGAGGUGGGAGGCGGAGCUGGGUCUGUGGUUGGACCCACAGCUCUUCGGGAUUCUGUUCAUUUGUCCACCGGCUCCUCUGGCUUCCAUCGCUCUCCUGCACUAGAACGUAAGCUUCAUGGGGCUGAGCCCGAGGCCGUCUUGUCCCCUCCUGCUGGGGCCUCCUCACACGGAACCUGGGGUCAAGUGUGCACUGGGCCACAUUCACGGACAACCCAGCCCCUGGGAAGAGCCAGCUGCCACGGUCACAACCUCAUCCCCAGGUCACAGCUGCUGCUGGGCCCUCACGCUCUUCCAGAAUCCCUGGCCGUCCCUGUGCCACGUCUCCUGACCGCCUCGUCUCUGCCCCGCCUGCCCCAUGUGAUGGGCCUUCUCCCCUAGAGCCCAGAGGCCUAGCUGUGUCCUCCAGGGUGCGAGGGCACUGCCUGGCACAUAGGGUGCUCAAGGCCACCUCAAUACUGUCUAUAAAACUGGGUUUGCCCCAC